rnacentral:rRNA from 1 species
AUACGUAGGGGGCAAGCGUUAUCCGGAUUUACUGGGUGUAAAGGGAGCGUAGGUGGUUUGGUAAGUCAGAUGUGAAAGCCCGGGGCUCAACCCCGGGACUGCAUUUGAAACUAUCAAACUAGAGUGCAGGAGAGGUAAGUGGAAUUCCUAGUGUAGCGGUGAAAUGCGUAGAUAUUAGGAGGAACACCAGUGGCGAAGGCGGCUCUCUGGACCGAUACUGACGCUGAGACGCGAAAGCGUGGGUAGCAAACAGGAUUAGAUACCCUGGUAGUCCACGCCGUAAACGAUGAGUACUAGGUGUUGGGGAGCAAAAGCUCCUCGGUGCCGUCGCAAACGCAUUAAGUAUUCCACCUGGGGAGUACGUUCGCAAGAAUGAA